rnacentral:rRNA from 1 species
UACGGCGGGUGCAAGCGUUGUUCGGAAUCACUGGGCGUAAAGCGCGUGUAGGCGGCUUCGUAAGUCUGGUGUGAAAGCCCGGGGCUCACCCCCGGAAGUGCACUGGAGACUGCGAGGCUUGAGUACCGGAGAGGAAGGUGGAAUUCCUGGUGUAGCGGUGAAAUGCGUAGAUAUCAGGAGGAACACCGGUGGCGAAGGCGGCCUUCUGGACGGAUACUGACGCUGAGACGCGAAAGCGUGGGGAGCAAACAGU